rnacentral:rRNA from 1 species
GACGAACGCUGGCGGCGUGCUUAACACAUGCAAGUCGAACGGAAAGGCCCGGCGUUUGCGGGGUGCUCGAGUGGCGAACGGGUGAGUAACACGUGAGGAACCUGCCCUUGACUUUGGGAUAACUUCAGGAAACUGGGGCUAAUACCGGAUAGGAUCUCCUGCUGCAUGGGGGGGGAUGGAAAGUUUCGGCGGUUGGGGAUGGACUAGCGGGUUACGAGCUGGUUGGGGGGGUAGGGGCUUACCAAGGCUUUGACGGGUAGCCGGCCUGGGAGGGUGACCGGCCACAUUGGGACUGCGGGACGGCGCAGACUCCUACGGGAGGCAGCAGUGGGGAAUCUUGCACAACGGGCGGACGCCUGAUGCAGCAACGCCGCGUGCGGGAUGACGGCCUUCGGGUUGUAAACCGCUUUCGACUGUGACGAAGCGUGCGUGACGGUACUGGGUAAGGAAGCACCGGCUAACUACGUG